CACAAAGUUUGUGCAUUUUCCCAAAUCUUUUCUUGUCAAGUCCAUUCAUUGGAGGGAGCAAAAAUGAUCCUGUGGCUAAACCUGGUGUCCUUACUAGCAGUCCUCAGAGGUGUGCAGUCAGAUGUCCAGCUGGUGGAGUCUGGAGGGGAUGUGAGGAGACCUGGAGACUCCCUCAGUCUCUCCUGCCAAGCCUCUGGAUUCACCUUCAGCAGCUACUGGAUGUACUGGGUGAGGCAAUAUCCAGGGAAAGGACUGGAAUGGGUUGCGCUCAUAUAUACUGAUUCCAGUGGAAAAUUCUACUCAGACAAAGUCAAGGGACGCUUCACCAUCUCCAGGGACAAUGCCAAAAGCCAGCUGUAUCUGCAAAUGAACAACCUGAAGCCAGAGGACACUGGACACUAUUACUGUGCGAGAGACACAGUGAGAGGAAGUGAAUCUGAAGCCAAGCAAAAACUGCCUCUUCCUCUGAGCAGCUCUGCAAGUUGA